CCUACGGGCGGCAGCAGUGGGGAAUAUUGGACAAUGGGGGGAACCCUGAUCCAGCGACGCCGCGUGAGUGAAGAAGUAUUUCGGUAUGUAAAGCUCUAUCAGCAGGGAAGAAAGAAAUGACGGUACCUGACUAAGAAGCCCCGGCUAACUACGUGCCAGCAGCCGCGGUAAUACGUAGGGGGCAAGCGUUAUCCGGAUUUACUGGGUGAAAAGGGGGCGUAGGCGGUUACGCAAGUCUGGAGUGAAAGGCGGGGGCCCAACCCCCGGACUGCUUUGGAAACUGUAUAACUUGAGUGCAGGAGAGGUAAGUGGAAUUCCUAGUGUAGCGGUGAAAUGCGUAGAUAUUAGGAGGAACACCAGUGGCGAAGGCGGCUUACUGGACUGUAACUGACGUUGAGGCUCGAAAGCGUGGGGAGCAAACAGGAUUAGAUACCCCUGUAGU
rnacentral:rRNA from 1 species